GUAUCCUGUCGGUGUUUCCUGGUCUAUCGUCCCAGAGUUUACCAAGCUGUGGAGGAGUAUCCCAGUGGACUCUAUGGAUGAAGAGAAGAUAGAGGACUACCUCAAGAGACAGGGCAUCUCCUCCAUGCAGGAGACUGGACCCAAGAAAGUUUUACCAAUCAAGAGGAAGAAGCCAGGUGGACAGAAGAAGAGACGCUUCAAGACUCACAACGACCAUCUGGCCGGAGUACUGGAGGACUACUCAGAGGGCGUACCCGCUAAGAAGUGAUGUCACUUCCUGGUUAUACCCCUCCCACUUCCUCUUCCCUGGCCCAGUGAGAGAGGGGUGACCUGGGAGUUGUUGUUUUUGGGCGGAAAUAAACUUUUUUUUUUUUUUGUCUCACCAUAACUACAAUGAAGAUGAGAGGAGACAAUGGCCCUGUCUCAAACGUGUGAACUUGCUUCCUUUCCUUGUGUCCUUUUCUCCCCGACAAUAAAGGAGAGGAGAUGAGGAAAGGAAGCCAUUUUGGAACGUUGAGACACAAGAUGGCUGACUGAUUGACUGAAGUGAAGUCCUUGCCAAACACACCAACCUAAAGAGGCGCUCGCUGUCCUUUUUGAUAAUACCUUACCAGUUUGGUUCUAAGCAGUAAUACAAAAUGGUGGAUGGCUUUUAGGGUAGCAAAAAUGUCCUGUUAAAUUUUCCUUAAAAAUCCCAGGUUUUCCAGAAAUCCCAGUUGAAAUAUUCCUGUAAUGACAAAUUCCCUGGAAUCUGGUAACACUUCAAUGGGGAUGUCUGGGAAACAUAGGGGAUUCUGGGAAAGUUACUGGAUAUGUGCAACCGUAGAAGGGGCUGUAUGUGUAAAUGUCUGGCACACGAUGGACACUGUGUGUGUGUGUGAUAGUGGAGAGAGGAUGUGUGUGAAAGUGUUUUAUUUUAUUUUAAAUAAUCCCAGUCGUAUUGUCUGCUGUAGUUGUUCCUUAUAUUCAUUUACAACAGUGGUCACCAAUGGCAACCUGGAGAAAUACAGGUUGUGCAGGGUUUUGCUCCAGACCUGCACAAGCACUCCUGAUUUAGCUAAACGACUCGUAGAAUCUACCAGGUUUACUCAGACAAACACUAGCCUGGUCCCAGGGUCUUUGUUCGGCAUGACAACGAGUCAUAGCAACGCUGAAAUCAGGCUAGACAAACACCCCUCUCCCAUUGAAACCCUUCACCCCCCGACAUACUUACAGUAUAUACCACUCAGCUAAUAAACUGUCCCUUCAGUAUAUACCACUAAGAUAAUAAACUGUCCCUUCAGUAUAUACUACUAAGAUAAUAAACUGUCCCUUCAGUAUAUACUACUAAGAUAAUAAACUGUCCCUUCAGUAUAUACUACUAAGAUAAUAAACUGUCCCUUCAGUAUAUACUACUAAGAUAAUUAACUGUCCCUUCAGUAUAUACCACUAAGAUAAUAAACUGUCCCUUCAGUAUAUACCACUAAGAUAAUAAACUGUCCCUUCAGUAUAUACCACUAAGAUAAUAAACUGUCCCUUCAGUAUAUACUACUAAGAUAAUAAACUGUCCCUUCAGUAUAUACUACUAAGAUAAUAAACUGUCCCUUCAGUAUAUACUACUAAGAUAAUAAACUGUCCCUUCAGUAUAUACUACUAAGAUAAUAAACAGUCCCUUCAGUAUAUACUACUAAGAUAAUAAACUGUCCCUUCAGUAUAUACUACUAAGAUAAUAAACUGUCCCUUCAGUAUAUACUACUAAGAUAAUAAACUGUCCCUUCAGUAUAUACUACUAAGAUAAUAAACUGUCCCUUCAGUAUAUACUACUAAGAUAAUAAACUGUCCCUUCAGUAUAUACUACUAAGAUAAUUAACUGUCCCUUCAGUAUAUACCACUAAGAUAAUAAACUGUCCCUUCAGUAUAUACCACUAAGAUAAUAAACUGUCCCUUCAGUGUAUAUACUACUAAGAUAAUAAACUGUCCCUUCAGUAUAUACUCAAACUGUUCAUCAAGACCUUGAUUGAUUGGGUGAAUCGGUUGUGUUAUAGUGCAAGGCCAGAACAAAAGCCCGAGACACCCUGUAUCUCUCCACUUCCUGGUUGGUUGGUGACCACUGGUCUCUGAGCGUUCUUCAUUACUGAGCACGUUACCCACAGUACCUUUCUCCUGAGGCCUUUCCUCUGACGCACAAUAAAGUCCUAGAAAACACA